rnacentral:misc_RNA from 1 species
GCGCUGCGGCCGCGGAGCUAGCGUUGCUGACAUGAGAACUGCUACAAGGUUUUGUUAUAUUCCAUUUCAUUGGAAAUCUUGGAAAGCUAUCAUUUGUACAUUUUGUGGAUCUAUUCUUAAAUCUUACAGGUAGAAAGUUUUAGAACUAUAUAUCAGAUUAGUUCAUGACUGCAGUAGGCACAAUCUUCUAUUCCUUUUUCUGUUUACAUCUGUAGGUAGCUCGAUUUAUGCAUUAUUAAUGCAUUUGUUGUGAGCUUGAGAAGCUGCAAUUCAUAUGUGGUUAGCUCAUGUAAGAUGUAUUUGAGAUUCAAUAAUCGUGAGUUUUCUCUUAUUCCUU